GGUCUAUUAUAUGGCCCAAUGCCAUGGCCUGAAACAUGCGGCCUAGACCUACCAGAAUGACCAAAAACAUGCAGCCCAAAUUGGUAACCCAUAUCUUGCGGCCUAAAUUAAUGACCUAUACUAUGCGGUCUAAAAUUAGGACCCGUUCCAUGCUGCAUUGAAAAAGAUCCAACUUCAUGACCUGCAUCAACAUUAUUGGUAAAAAGAAAAGGGUUAGAAACCCUAGCCGCUUGAUAAUAAGGCAUAAAAAAAUGACUUUGCAACUUUCCCCAAGAAGGAUCAGAUGGGAACGCCACCAGGGCCACCACAGAAGGACCGAUGUGCUGCCCAGAUCCACCGAAAGAGAGAGGGCCACCAUGCACGGACGACCACCAUCCAAGCUCGUCAAAAGGAGCUUCACGCAGCCCUUGGCCAGCACAUCUAGAUGACAUCGAUGCUACGGUCAGAGUGGAGGAGCCACCGUACUCGCGAUCAAAGUGGUAAUAACAACGUUGCGCCAAGUGGCCAUAGUGUCCAUAGAUUUAGCAUUGGAUCCGAGGCCAAAACACUCGCCCAUGAGUAGAGGAAGACAAAUGCCGCCUCGUAAGGAGUUAGCCACCAGUGUCGAUGGAGCGGUUUCACCUAGAUGUGCAUGAAAGGUUGCUUUUGUUGCCACACGAGUUUAACGACUCUCAAACUCCAGAUGAGCAUCGAUAAGUUUUUAAAGUGGAAGAGACUCUGUCGAGAACGUUGCUAGUGUUAAAACAACAUCAAAAUUCGAUGAGAGUCCGGCAAGUAUAAUUUCCACAUUUUCCACCUUCGGAACCGUAGAUUCAGAGGCCUCAAGUAACGCACAAGUAUUUCGUAUUUUUGCUACAUAUUCUUUGACAGACAUGACUCCUUUUUUGAUGGAAUAAAGUUCGUGCCUUAUUCGGGAUACUUUUGGUCUAGUGGCAGUAGUGAAAAGGUGAUUAGUCGUGCUCCAAACAUCACAGGUAGAUUUUGCCGCUGUAAAACAAGAUAACAGAGAAAAACUAAUGAUAGAAAGUAGCCAAGAAGCAAGAAGCUUAUCUUGCUGGACGAAGACAGAGACAACAGGAUUUAGAGUGAGAACGCCGUCUGGAGAGGAGAUAAAUCGAGGCGAUGCAGGAAAAGUCUAAACCAAUUGAAUGCCAGAGAUGUGGGAUUGCCACGAUCAACAGCAGUAAAGUCAGCGGAAUUUUCCAUGAAAGCAGUGAGAAGAACCUCCAAGAGUUCAGGCGACUGAUACCAUGUUAGUAAGUAUAGAAAAUGAAGAAAUACAAAGUGAAUAUGAAUGAAUAUACUGGUAUUCUUUGGUUGUUUUGAUCAGUACAGUAGUAGGACUUAUAUACAUGGAAGAAUGACUAACUGCUGCUAA